rnacentral:tRNA from 1 species
UAGAAAGGUAGGACUUGAACC